rnacentral:rRNA from 1 species
GGAAGGUGCGAGCGUUAAUCGGAAUUACUGGGCGUAAAGCGCGCGUAGGCGGCUAGAUAAGUCGGGUGUGAAAGCCCCGGGCUCAACCUGGGAACUGCAUUCGAUACUGUCUGGCUAGAGUGUGAUAGAGGGAGGCGGAAUUCCGCAUGUAGCGGUGAAAUGCGUAGAGAUGCGGAGGAACACCAAUGGCGAAGGCAGCCUCCUGGAUUAACACUGACGCUGUGGUGCGAAAGCGUGGGGGGAGCAAACAGGAUUAGAUACCCUGGUAGUCCACGCCCGUAAACCGAUGUCAGCUAGCCGUUGGGAGCAAUUUGGCUCUUGGUGGCGCAGCUAACGCGAUAAGUUGACCGCCUGGGGAGUACGGUCGCAAGAUUAA